rnacentral:rRNA from 1 species
UACGUAGGGGCCUAGCGUUGUCCGGAUUUAUUGGGCGUAAAGAGCUCGUAGGCGGUUCGGCAAGUCGGAUGUGAAAUCUCCACGCUCAACGUGGAGGGGCCAUUCGAAACUGCCGUGACUCGAGUCCGGUAGGGGAGUGUGGAAUUCCCGGUGUAGCGGUGAAUGCGCAGAUAUCGGGAGGAACACCAGUGGCGAAGGCGACUACCUGGACCAGCACUGACACUGAGGCACGAAAGCGUGGGGAGCAAACAGGG